CCUACGGGAGACAGCAGUGGGGAAUAUUGGACAAUGGGGGGAAACCCUGAUCCAGCGACGCCGCGGGAGUGAAGAAGUAUUUCGGUACGUAAAGCUCUAUCAGCAGGAAAGAAAAUGAAGGUACCUGACUAAGAAGCCCCGGCUAACUACGUGCCAGCAGCCGAGGUAAUACGUAGGGGGAAAGCGUUAUCCGGAUUUACGGGGUGUAAAGGGAGCGUAGACGGCAGCGCAAGUCGGUAGUGAAAUGACGCGGCCCAACCCCGGAACUGCGCUUGAAACUGUAAAGCUGGAGUGCAGUAGAGGUAAGCGGAAUUCGUGGUGUAGCGGUGAAAUGCGUAGAUAUCAGGAGGAACACCGACGGCGAAGGCAGCUUACUAAACUGUAACUGACGUUGAGGCUCGAAGGCGUGGGGAGCAAACAGGAUUAGAUACCCUUGUAGUC
rnacentral:rRNA from 1 species